rnacentral:rRNA from 1 species
GACGAACGCUGGCGGCGUGCUUAACACAUGCCAGUCGAACGGUGAACUCCGCUUGCGGGGGGAUCAGUGGCGCACGGGUGAGUAACACGUGGGCAACCUGCCCUCAGCUCUGGGAUAACUCCAAGAAAUUGGGGCUAAUACCGGAUAUGACCGCUGACCGCAUGGUCUGGUGGUGGAAAGAUUUAUCGGCUGGGGAUGGGCCCGCGGCCUAUCAGCUUGUUGGUGGGGUAGUGGCCUACCAAGGCGACGACGGGUAGCCGGCCUGAGAGGGUGACCGGCCACACUGGGACUGAGACACGGCCCAGACUCCUACGGGAGGCAGCAGUGGGGAAUAUUGCGCAAUGGGCGAAAGCCUGACGCAGCGACGCCGCGUGGGGGAUGACGGCCUUCGGGUUGUAAACCUCUUUCAGCAGGGACGAAGCGAAAGUGACGGUACCUGCAGAAGAAGCACCGGCCAACUACGUG